rnacentral:sRNA from 2 species
AACAAGCAGAAGCACCCGCUUCUCACCUGAUUGACACAUUCUUGUAGUUGGCAGGUUAAACGUACAUUUCUUAUUUUUCUAUGCAAUGUUCGCAGUGUGGGUGUUUCGAUGCCCGCACUUUUUGUUU